rnacentral:rRNA from 1 species
AUACGGAGGCUGCGAGCGUUAAUCGGAAUUACUGGGCGUAAAGCGCGCGUAGGCGGUUUGGUCAGUCGGAUGUGAAAGCCCCAGGCUCAACCUGGGAAUGGCAUUCGAUACUGCCUGACUAGAGUAUGGUAGAGGGAAGUGGAAUUUCCGGUGUAGCGGUGAAAUGCGUAGAUAUCGGAAGGAACACCAGUGGCGAAGGCGACUUCCUGGGCCAAUACUGACGCUAAGGUGCGAAAGCGUGGGGAGCAAACAGGAUUAGAACCCCCAGUAGUCC